AGCGAACGCUGGCGGCAUGCUUAACACAUGCAAGUCGCACGGGUCGGGGUAACCUCGGCAGUGGCGGACGGGUGAGUAACGCGUAGGUAUCCUAUCCAGAGGUGGGGGACAACCGCGGGAAACUGCGGCUAAUACCGCAUGAUGACUGAGGUCCAAAGCAGCAAUGCGCCAUUGGAGGAGCCUGCGUUCGAUUAGCUAGUUGGUGGGUAAAGGCUUACCAAGGCGACGAUCGAUAGCUGGUCUGAGAGGAUGAUCAGCCACAUUGGGACUGAGACACGGCCCAAACUCCGUACGGGAGGCAGCAGUGGGGAAUAUUGGACAAUGGGCNCAAGCCUGAUCCAGCAAUGCCGCGUGUGU
rnacentral:rRNA from 1 species